rnacentral:lncRNA from 1 species
GUGCUGUCUGGAAUUCAGGGGAGAGAACUGUGCUUGAAAUAUUGAUUCUUGGAAGAAGUUUAGAGCAAGUUUGGGAAAAAAAAGAGAAAUAUUAUUAGAAAUGCGAGUAGAGUUCAUUGGGCUUAGGUAGAAUGGGCACGAGGUAGUGAAGAGAACACAAGGUGAGGAGAAUAUGGUGUAAAAGAACCUGUGGAGAAAUCCUUUUGGGACAAUAUAAUAGGAUAAGAAGGAAGAGAAGUUUUAACGUUCAAUAGAAGAGGAAUAAUGGAAUAUAGUCUAAUGACUCAUUGUAGAUAAUUUCUUGGACAACUUUACUCUCAACUGAAAGUUGUCCUGAGUCCUAAAAACAACAUGUUCAUAGACUAUGUCCUCCUUUGGAAUGAGGGGUUCAAAAGUGUGUGUGUAUGGGGGAUUGGGGAGGAGGGAGUAAUUUAACCUCUCCACAAAUUACAUUAUACGGGUGGAGAAGAAAUUCCAAUUCCAGCUCUGCAGUUUAGAAGACUGUUUCAUCUUAUCGCCCUGGGUCCAAGUUUCUAAUCAAAUAAAAGGUUUGAACUCAAUGACCUCUAAGCAUUUUAGAGAGAAAAGGGACCAAUGAGUGGAAGGUUCCUAAAGAAGAGAAAAUUUGAUGGUUUCAGGUGCGUUGCUUCCUAACCUUAACAAAGUCUAUGGCCUUGAGAAAGCCUCCAGCCCCCCCAUGGCCAAGGUCGGGCAAUUGCAGGUGGGAGAAUCAUAGACCCAUAGAAUGUUCUAACUGGAAGGGACCUUAAAGGUCAUCUAUUCUACCCCUUUACUGUACAAGAGAGCGGAUGGGCCAGUGGGCACUAAGCAGAUCUCGAGGCAGCACCCCCCCCUCCCCCCGUGCUUCUAGAGCCCGCACGGCUGCUGGUUCCAUUCCCCGAGGCCCCGCUAAGCAGCGGAAAGACAGCGGUGCCCAGCAGGGAGCCCAGGGAGCUGCGCGCUUGCUCUCAGGCCACGCGGGCAGCAAGAGGCAGUGCCCCAGUUUGUGGCCAAUCAGGGAGUACGGGCUGUGCCCCGAGCCGGGCGGGCAGCGGUGCGUAAACAAACCCACGGAAACUCCUCCGCCCCCUCCGCGCUCCCUCGCUAGCCUCGGGCGCCUUGGGCUCCGCUCUUGCGCGCUCCUGCAGUUCGGAGUUCUCCCUCCUUCCCCUGCCGCUAACACACCCCACUCCUCCUCUUCCUCCUCCUGUGAAACUCCUCCGAGCCACUGUUCAGUUACCUACCGCCUCCCCACGCGCGCGCGCACACACACAUACAUACACACACGCAGGCACACACCACACACACCACACACACACACAGAUCAUGGCCUUUGGAGAGCAAGAUGA